UACGUAGGGUGCAGGCGUUAAUCGGAAUACUGGGCGUAAAGGGCGCGUAGGCUGUGCUGUAAGUCAGGCGUGAAAGCCCCGGGCUCAACCUGGGAAUUGCGCUUGAUACUGCGGCGCUGGAAGGUGGGAGAGGAUGGCGGAAUUCCCAGUGUAGAGGUGAAAUUCGUAGAUAUUGGGAAGAACACCGGUGGCGAAGGCGGCAUCGUGGC
rnacentral:rRNA from 1 species